rnacentral:sRNA from 1 species
GUUUCGGAUGAUGAAUAGUCACUC